AGCAGGAUUACGGGGGUGGCGAUGUGAGGAUGCGAUAGGGGUGAUGAUGAGAGGACGCAAGAGGAGCCCAAACUCACAGCCGCCGGUGAUGCGAGGAAGAUAGUUGCAUCUGGUAACCCUUGUCACCAACUCUUUCUACCACCUGUGCUGUCUACUUGUUCUCCUGUCCAUGCUCCAGGCCUCCUCUGCACUUGCAACCAUAUGCUUGCCAGCACCCGGCAUUUAAUUGGGCGCCUAGGGCCUAAACAACACAUAGGGGCUGCGAUUCGCGCUUAAGCAUGCUUAGGCAUACGAUUAGUAACGCCUUUUAGAAUACUGUUUUCUGGUUGUUUUUGAGUCAAAAUGACAUGAGGGAGAGAGGGAAGCACGCCAUUGGAAUAAUGUUAGAGAAAAUGCUUACUGACUAUUGCCAUUCCUCACUGCACCGAAGCUAAUUGUAUAAACAGUAAAGUAAAAUUUCCUACAAAGGUACAGCCAAUGGCUCAAAUUAUUGGUUUAUUAAUUCUGUUGAUUUAGUCAGAAAUUCAGAGAGGAAGAGGUAAACCAUUGGAAAAUUAUUGGUUUAAACAAUUAUAGGGCAACAAUAUACCUUAGUGUAAAUGUCAACUGCGCCAAGAUAAUCUUUGUUCUUGACCGCUUCACGUCCUUGAAACUUUAAAUUAGCAAGCAUCACUGUAUACAAAUCCUCAUCCUAAAACAUAGGUGAUAAAUGGACGAAACAAAAUUUCAUUAGCAACAUUUAACCAUGCUAAGUAGCACCAUACCUAAAUCAUACCCUAGCACAUGACUACUGAAUGGUCCUCUGCAUUAGAAUUGGAUCGAAAUCAAGUAGUCAACUCUAUGAGUAGGGGUAGGCCUGAUAAAUUGUAAGACAUAAUCUGCUGCCCCCUUUCUCUCUUCUUCUUCCUGUCCAGGACAGAGGGUAGUAGUUGGAUCAGCUCAUGGUUUCCAAGUCCUUGGUCCUGUAGAGUAUAAGGCAAUAGGCCAUACUAUGUACUAGUAGAGGUACACCAGCUGUAUGGCUGGUACUAGAGUAGUUGUUGGCUGAUUUCAGCCUUGUACCUUAGGAGUAUGUAGUAGGUAGAACUGUACCGUAGAAGGUACAUAUAUUGGUGUAUAUAAACCAGCCCAAUGCAAUGGAAGAAGGCAGUUCAUUGCCACUCAUUCAGUUUGCAGUUUCAGUUCAAGUCUGAAACUGUGUGUGUGCUGUGUGUGUGCUGAAGUAGCUCAGGGCUCUUCUUCUACCUUGGAGCAGGGGAGAGGGAGAGGGGAGGAGAGCAGGUGCUGCUCACCUCGGUGCAGGGUUGUUGUGCCAACAUAAAUUAAUUAAAAGACCUCACAACACAACCAUUAUCCCACCACUAUACAAUGUAGGCACAAAAACCACUGUAAUCCAAGUUUCAAUGCUAAAAACCUUCUUGUUGGGAGAAAAGAUAAGUGCAACAGUUAAAACAUGCAAACAAACUUGCAGACAUAUGCCAUCAAAUAGUUAUGUCAUAAGCACAAAUUUAGUUGUAAAAUUGUAGGACAAAGGUAUAUACUUCUUUCAAAUGAAUUUCAUUGCUGACAAAUGACAUAUUCGAAUGCCAAGUCACAAAUUUUUAUACCACUAUAAGCAAAUUCAUUGAGCAGGACAGCUGAAAUAUUACACUUACCAUUCAUGAUAGAUCCAUAUUCCUUAAGCUUCAUUUGAGAAGAGAAUCAAGUUUAUGAUUAAAGUAUGUGCAUCCUUUUUUUUAUAAAGAUUUUUAUAAAAAGGUAUUUGCAUCCAAGUUAGAAAAGUUAAUUACAGAAACCAAAGAAUAGAGAUAAACACAAAGAAUCACUGAAAUAACAACUCAAACAAUUGACAUAAAAUAUAAACAUAGCGUUUUUUAUGAUACCUUGAGUGCUGGCUUUGAUUUUGCAUAGCUAAUGAUUCCAUCAACACUCCAAUCAUUAACAGUUGGAAUACGAGAGGUGACUGGAAAUAGUAUCUCAACAUCCUCACGCCUAUUGUAACGUGCAGCAGUUUCUAUCGGAGUGAAUCCAAACUACCAAGAAAAUAGGAAGCAUUAACGUCAGUGCAGCAGUUUCUCAAGGAACAGCAAAAUAACAGGAUAGUAGCACAUGAAAGGUAUAUAGACAAGUGUUGAACAAAGGCAUUGGAUAUAUGACACAACUUACUUUAUAAAUUAGGUAAAAUACUACUGGCCCAUAAAUCACCGUUGUGAAUGGUAAAACACAACAAGCAGGCCUAGGAAGUGUGCUAUCAAUUGCCAAUAAAGCAUUAAGAACAUUUUGCUACUAAAUCAGUACAUGCUGAUAUGAUCUGAGUACAGAAAAUGAAAGAUAAAUACUCAAGGUAUAUAACAAAUAAAAUAGUUAAUUAACAUGUGCAGUUAGGAAUAAAAUUAUUCAGGAACCAUAGAAGAGAGUAAUUAUGUGCAAGGAUGAUCACUGUAUUGGUGUGGCCACUGUUGGAGUAUAAGGAUUAGGCCCAUGAGGCCCAUGUAUGUGACCAUAUUGCUACCCUUCUAGGGUCAGCCCAAUUAAUGAAAAUCACAGUUUGCAAACAUGGUAUCAAGCUAGGGUUUGUCUUCUCCCUCCCUCCCUUCCCAGGCCAGCCGCCAGGCAGUCGCCGCCGCCGGCCGACGCGCCGCCGCAGCCGCGGCCAUGGCUGCCCCUCCUCCUCCACCACCAGCCGGCGCCGAUCCUCAGCUGGACGCGGGCACCCGAGGCGCGGGCGCGCUGCCCCUGGGCGCGGCCCCCCGAGGCACAGGCGCGCCGCCCAUGGGCGCGGCCCCCCGAAGCUUGGGCGCGGGCGCGCCGCCCCUGGGCGCAGCCCCCCGAGGCGCGGGUGCGCGGCCCUUGGGUGCGGCCCCGCGAGGCGCGGGCGCGAACCCCCGUGGCGCGGGCGCGCGGCCCCCCGAGGCGCGGGCGCGCCGCCCCUGAGCGCGGCUGCGGGCGCGCCGCCCCUGGGCACGGAUGCGGCUCUCCUGGACGCGCACACUGCCGAGGCGCUGGCCAGGAUGCUGGACGCCGGCGCCGCCGGUCCUCCAGCCGGUGCCGUCGCUGCUGCUCGCCUUCUCAUGGCAGCGGCGGGCACGGUUCCUCCUACAGAUGACGUCCAGGCCGCCGAGAACGCCAUGCCAGCUGCUGCCUUUCCCCCACCACCUCCGCCAAACUCCGCCCUCGCCACUCCCCUCACCGCUGCCCGCGCUGCUGCUGCGGACGGCCAUGCACACAUGCGGGCGGCCGACCUCGCUUGGGAGCGCGAGCGCCAUGCAGCCGAUGCCAUGGCUCGCAAGAUCGCCGAGGCGGAGCAACUGCUCAUCCUCCCUGCCUCGCACGGUGUCGGGGCAACCUCCUCUGGCUCCGUCGCCGCCAUGCCUGCUGCAGUGGCUGCCGGACUGGGCAUGCCACGGGCUGACGCAGCCGCGGCAGUCUUCAACGCACCGCCUCUUGCUCCUCCUCCCUCCGAGCCAAGCGGGGGUUGGGGGGGCCGUGGCAGCCACCGUUGCCGCCGCGGUGGACGCGGUGGGAGUCUCUCAGCGCCUCUGUGGCCUCCACCUCUGAGUGCCUUGCUCGGGCCUGUCGGAUGGAACCCGGCGGCCUGGGCAUCUUUCCGCCACCCGUGGUCGACCAUGUGGGGCGACGGUAGGCCGGCCCCCUUCACCGCGACGUCAUCGGCGCCUCUGUUGUCGGACACAGCGGCUCUUCGUGCGCGGGUCAUGGCCCCCGCUGCUCCGCGCGUGCAUCCCCUAGUCGUCGUGCCUAGAGGAGCUGCUUCUCCUCCCCCACCGGCUUACUCAUUCAUCACCACCACCAAACCUCCGCCCGCGGCUCCUCCUGCCGCAGGGCUGCGACCAGUCAGUCCUAACUGGAUCGCUGACUCGGGCGCCACCUUCCAUACCACGCCCGAUGCGAGUCUCCUCUCUUCUAUCAGUCCUCCCCACCCUUCUUGUCUUUCUUCCAUCAUGGUCCCUAAUGGCACCUGCAUUCCUGUCUCCUCCGUAGGCACUGCCAAUUCCCAUGGCUCCUUUCAUAUCCUUGAUGUUCUUGUGGCUCCCGGUAUGGUUCACAACCUCCUCUCUAUUCGCCGCUUCACGACUGACAACUCUUGUUCGGUUGAGUUCGACCCCUCUGGCCUCACCGUGCGGGAGUUGGCUUCCCGGCGUCCUCUUCUCCGUUGUGACAGCACUGGGCCUCUCAACACCCUUCGUUUCCCGGUUUCCGCUGCACCUCCUUUGCCUUCUUAUUCACCCCCUUCGGCAUCUGCCUUCACCACCACCUCCUCCACUACGUGGCACCGUCGCCUUGGCCAUCCUGGCAGCACUGCUUUGACACAGCUCAGUCGCAGUUCCGUUGUGCCUUGCCCCCGCACUCCUGAUGAGCAUUUGUGUCAUGCAUGCCAGUUGGGCCGUCAUGUUAGACUUCCUUUCCCUACCUCCUCACAUGCGGCUCACAUCUUUGAUCUUAUCCAUUGCGACCUGUGGACAUCUCCUGUUCUUAGUAUGUCUGGCUACAAGUACUACUUGGUGGUGGUUGAUGACUUCUCCCAUUACUCCUGGACUUUUCCCUUGCGUGCCAAGUCCGAUACAUUCACCACUCUUCGCCACUUCUUUGCAUGGGUGUCCACCCAGUUCGGCCUCACCAUCAAGGCCGUGCAGUGUGACAACGGGCGUGAGUUUGAUAACACCACCGCUCGCUCCUUCUUCCUCUCCUGUGGUGUCCAGUUGCGCAUGUCUUGCCCCUACACCUCCCCUCAGAACGGCAAGGCUGAGCACAUGAUUCGCACCACAAACAACGUCAUGCGCACCCUUCUGUUACAGGCCUCGCUUCCCGCUCGCUUCUGGGCUGAGAGCCUCCACACCGCCACCUAUCUCCUUAACCACUUGCCCUCCACGGCUUCCCCUGCCCCCACUCCACACCACGCUCUUUUCGGUACCCCUCCCCGCUACGAUCACCUUCGUGUGUUUGGGUGCGCUUGCUACCCCAACACAGCUGCCACUUCUCCUCAUAAGCUUGCCCCCCGUUCUACUCUCUGUAUCUUCCUGGGUUACUCCCCUGAGCAUAAGGGGUACCGUUGCUUGGACCUCUUCUCGCCGUGUCCUCAUCUCUCGCCACGUCGUGUUUGACGAGUCGGCAUUCCCUUUCUCCACCACCCCCACCUCCACACCUCCUGCUGACCCUGCGGAGGCUUCUUUUUUUCCCACUACCCGGUGGAUCCACCACCGUUUCCACUAUACCCUGCAGGUCUUGCUCCGGCACGCUCUCCUGGUGGUCCUUCGAGCCAGGACCCUCCUCCUGUACCUAGCACAGCAAAGGCAGCCCCAGAGCUUCCUCCACCGCUACCAGUGGUUGCGCUGCCUCCCGUUGUGCCCGAAGUCGUCGUCCCGAUCGCGGGACCGCGCGCCCCGCCCUCACCUCCCCAGCGCUUCGGCCUCGUCUACCAGCGGCGGCGAGAGCCGGCUCCGCCUCUACAGCCGGUGUCGCUGGCUCCGUCGCCGCCCUUGCCACCAGCGCUGUCGUCGCCGGUACGGGCUCCGUCGUCGACCCCGCCACCUCCGACGGAGCACCCGUCCAUGCCGCCUCCGGCCCCAAGGCGCUCUCGCGCCGAGCCGCCGGUGUACCACCCGCCUCUACUUCACCGGGAUCCUCAUCACACUCACCCAAUGGUGACGAGACAGGCAUCCCAGCCGCGGGCCCUCAUCGCUGCUACCUGCGAGACGAGGAUCUCUCCGGUACCCUCUUCCGUCCGCGAGGCCUUAUCAGAUCCUCACAGGCGCCGCGCGAUGGAAGAGUACGCGGCCCUCCUCGCUAACCAGACGUGGGAUCUGGUGCCCCGUCCGUCGGCCUCCAACGUCGUCACCGGCAAGUGGAUCUGGACGCACAAGCGGCGUGCUGAUGGUUCCUUGGAGCGCUACAAGGCUCGCUGGGUCCUCCGAGGUUUCAGUCAGCGGCCCGGCAUUGACUAUGAUGAGACCUUCAGUCCAGUGGUGAAGCCAGCUACCGUCCGCACCGUACUAUCCGUGGCUCUCGAGCGCUCCUGGCCUGUGCAUCAGCUAGAUGUCAAGAAUGCCUUCCUCCAUGGCACUCUGACUGAGACAGUCUACUGCAGUCAGCCAGCCGGUUUCGUGGAUUCUUCUCGCCCUGACUUGGUCUGCCGGCUCAACAAGUCUCUCUACGGUCUCAAGCAGGCGCCUCGGGCGUGGUAUUCUCGGUUCUCUACCUUCCUGCAGACUCUUGGGUUCACGGAGGCCAAGUCUGACACCUCACUGUUCAUAUACCACCAUGGGGGUGAGACUGCUUACCUGCUCCUCUAUGUGGAUGACAUUGUUCUCACUGCCUGCAGCGAGUCACUGCUCCAGCGCAUCAUUACCACUCUCCAGAAGGAAUUUGCUAUGAAGGAUCUUGGUCUGCUCCAUCACUUCCUUGGUGUCACUGUUAAGCCCUGACCUUCAGGCUUGUUCCUCCACCAGCGGCAGUUCACUUGUGACAUUCUAGAGCAAGCAGGGAUGACUGACUACAAGUCCUGUUCUACUCCGGUCGAUACCCAGGGCAAGCUGUCAGAGGCAGAGGGUCCGAUGCUUGGGCCAGAGGACUCUACCGCCUACCGGAGUCUUGCUGGCGCACUCCAGUACCUCACCUUCACACGGCAUGACAUCACCUACGCCGUGCAACAGCUCUGCCUCUACAUGCAUGCUCCGCGGGAGCCCCACCUUGCUGCUAUGAAGCGGCUCCUCCGGUACCUCCGUGGCACUCUCAGUCUCAGCUAUGGCUGCUCCUCAGCCGGUCCUCCUCUGCCGAGCUGGUUGUCUACACCGAUGCUGAUUGGGCGGGCUGCCCGGACACCCGCAGGUCCACCUCUGGCUACGCUGUCUUCCUGGGCGGCAACCUUGUCUCGUGGUCGUCCAAGCGACAACCGGUGGUCUCACGCUCCAGUGCCGAGGCGGAGUACCGCGCCGUUGCCAAUGGUGUGGCUAAGGCUGCUUGGCUCCGCCAGCUCCUGGCUGAGCUUCACCGCCCCCUCGCCAGAAGCUCACUUGUCUACUGCGACAACGUCAGCGCCGUCUAUCUCUCCACCAACCCUGUGCAACACCAGCGGACCAAGCAUGUGGAGAUCGACCUGCACUUCGUCCGCGACCAUGUGGCCAUCGGCGACGUCCGGGUCCUCCACGUCCCGACCACCUCACAGUUUGCGGACAUCUUCACCAAGGGCCUCCCUUCCUCGACUUUCGCCGAGUUUCGCUCCAGCCUCAACGUCACCGGUGGCUAGUUGUGGCUGCGGGGGGGUAUUGUGUGUUAUGUGUUUUCCUUCUUGUCCAGUCUUGAACUCCGCUGCGCCGGUAGUCCAGACUGCGGGGGGGUGUUGGAGUAUAAGGAUUAGGCCCAUGAGGCCCAUGUAUGUGACCAUAUUGCUACCCUUCUAGGGUCAGCCCAAUUAAUGAAAAUCACAGUUUGCAACAGCCACUAUAGUAACAGUAUAAACAUUAAAGAAACAAACAAUGAAUAUUCAAAAGGUACUAUCCAUACAUAUGGCCAUAUGGGUAUGGGUGCAGUGCAGAAGAAAGAUGAGUACUCAAGGUAUGGAACAGUAAAUUUGUGCAUUAUCAUAAGCAAUUAAGAAGAAUAAGAAUAUGAAGGGAUAAUAGACAGGACUCAUUUGGCCAAGGAUACUCACAGCAUUGAUGUAACAAAUAUAGUAACAUAACAAAGAGAACUUUACUAGAAUUGCAUGGGAGUCUGCUUAGUACUGUACUAGAAUUACAGGUUACUGUUGGGUGGGGGGGAGGGCCUACACCAUCACAAACAUUGGGAUCUGCACCAGCUUGAACUAAGCACUUCAGGAUGUCAGUUAAGCCAUCAGUAGCAGCAAGUGCUAAGGGUGUUUCAGUACCAAUACCCUGAACAUCAGCACCAGCCUAACAAAAAAUAUAGUGUUUAAUGAAUCCUUUAGACAAUAUAUGUAAAGUGAAAUUCAUGAAUUCCAUACUCUCUGAUCCUACAUUUUCAACAUAAAUUCAGUAUAGUAACUCUCUUAGUUUGUGCUGUAAACCAUAAAGUCGAUGCAACCUUAAAAUGGCAUACCUCAAUAAGAAGCUUCACACAUUUCAAUGAACGAGCAGAAAUGGCAUAAAUAAGAGGUCUGUUGACACCCCAAGCUAUCUUGUUAUGCUGUUGAGAGAUCAAGAAGAUUAGAAAUCCCUAUAUGAAUAAUAAAUCAGCAUAGAGCAAGCAUAAACAAGUACAAACUUUAGUAAACAGAAUGUCAAAUAAAUAAAGUGUCUUUGUGGAAGCAAAAUAAAGAAAAAGAAGUCAAUAUCAAUAAGAAAAUGUUAGCACAUAUAAAAAAAUGAAAUUAUGUUUCUUUCAGUAACAAAAUCCGGGCAUGACUGAUGUGGAAAAGUAUAUAACAUUGCAAAAGCAAAUGAACUACACAAUGUCAUAUUUUUGUACAGCUAAACAUGGCUGUAGUGAAACAAUCAUAAGAAAUCAAUGAAAUGUGCAAAGAUAUAUACAGACAACUGCACAAUACGGCAUCACUCAUGAGAGCAUUGCUAAGCAUGUACAUGCUUCAGCAGUUCAGCUUGCAAGAGAAUACAAUGAGAAGUAGAAACCAAAAAAAUAUAUCUAUAGACAAGACCAUGUAAGAAAUAGUGUACUUAGUCUUCAAAUGAAACAUGAUCAAGCUCACACAGUGAAAGCAGGACUGGGAAAAAACCGGGACCAAAAACGGACACCGAAUAGACCGAGACUGAACUCGAAAAGACUGAAAGUUCGGUCCUCGGUCUCUACUUCGGUUCCCAUUCUCAGAACAUUCUCAAAACUCCAAUCGCUGCUGGGCACGAAGACGCCAACAACCACUACGACAACGCAGAAUUAGAGCAGCCACCUUCCCCAUCAGCCUUCUUCAUCCUCCCCAAUCUCUCUCCCCCUUCCUCCAUUUCACGCUUCCCCUUCCUUCUCUUGGCUAGAUCCUGAGACAAGCGUCUGAUGCUCGGUUUUGGACCAAAGACCAAACCGAUAAAUCGGGUGACUGAAUUGUCCGUCCCUAAUUUUUCUAAGACAAGUUCGGUUGCUAAUUUUCAAAGACUGUUUUUUUUUAUAAAACCGAAAUACCCAACCCAAAAUUUCAGUCUACACCGAACGCCCACCCCUGAGUGAAAGUACAUGUAACUAGAAAGCUCUUACUCACCAGAGAGGGACUCCACCUGAUCACUGAAAUACAUUUCACGUCUGUAGUGAAACUGGACAUUUCAUUAUAGCACUAGAAAGAAGCUACUUCUUUGUAUGCACAUCAGAUAAUGAGGUUGUGGUUGGUGAAAAGAACAGAUAGUUGGGCAGUUGGCUCUUCAAAAAGUCCUCAGGAAUAUGCAAAAGGGAUUAAACAUUAAUAACUGGUGCACCAGCAUGGACAAAUGAAAAGGAAAUAAUAACAGUCAGAAAUGCAGCUUAUUUUGUGAAAGUAAUUAGUUUUCCAAAGGAAAUAAUGUUGGUCUCCAAAGAUUAAAAGCUUUAAGAUUAUAUUGAACUGUGAAGUUUGAAGAACUCAAAUUCAGUGGGCGCACCAAGCAUGAAACAAAUGAAAAACUGGAUAGAGAAACAAUCCCAAUAAAAAAUUCUCAAAUUUACCAUCUUAAACAGAAAUCCCUAGCAGGGAGAAACAUGAAGCACUUACAUCUGCAUGGUGAUCCAACAAAACCUUCACGAUAUCAUCACGCCCAUUUUGAGCAGCAAGAUGCAGUGCUGCCCCAACAGUAGUUAAUGCAUCAACAUAUGCUCCUUUGCAGAGUAAGGCUUGUACUAUUUCACAGUUUCCUGGAGAUGACACGGAACAAAUCAAAAAUCAACUAUUGCUACUUCAGCAUAACUUUGUCUUGACAAACAUUUGUUAAUGUUAGGUAACCUAAUGAUAUUCACCAUGAGAAACAAAGAGUAAACAAAUAUAUGUACACAGUCCAAACUGGAUCUCUAUAAUCAUCUGAACUGAUGCAGUGUGCAGAGUUUGGACACAUGAAAUGGGAACGAAAAGGGCCCACUAAUUAUAUUUGCUUUAAAUAUGGCAUCAUGUGCAUCUUGGGGAGGAUAAAAUUUCAACAAAUGACCUGAGCCUACCCUUUCAUAGUGCCCAACAUAUGUUUCAGGUAGUUCAUUGCAUUACCUUCACUGCCACUAAUAAACAGAAAACAGAAACAUUUUUGGAAUAAUGUGUGCAAUAGAGUGCAUGGAGAUACGCUUACCUUUUCCAACAGCGUAAACAAGAGGAGUAAGCCCAGUGCUGAUGAGUGUUUCUGUAUCAGCGCCAUUAUUGAGGAGGUACUGCACCACAUCCACGCUCCCAGCAUCAAUAGCACAUGUCAAGGGGGUCAAACCUGUCAUGGAAACCCAAACCGUAAAAUAACAUCAACAGCGUGUUGCAAACUAGAGGAAACGUGUUUCCCAAACUAGCAACCGGUAAACACUGGGCCAGCAGAUGCCAUGCAACUAGAUCCACUCCACUAGUCCACUUCAGUAUGUGAAAGAAACCAACUUGGCACAGAAAGAAAGAGAGAGGACCCACCUGCCUCGUUGAUUGAAUUGACAUCCAGACCCAGGUCGUCGACCAGGUAUCGGCACACCGGCAGCUUCCCACGGGCAGCGGCGAGGUGCAGAGCGCCCAGUCCGUUGCUGCUCCGCACAGCCCUCACCUUUUCCGCGCCCCGUUCCUCGCCCCCGUCCAGCACUCUCGUCAUCUCUGGGGAUGGAAAAGCACCGCCCAGACCAAAUCAAAGCUGAAGUUAAUUAACACCGAAAUAGGAAAUGUCGGAGGAGGAGGUAGGAGAGGACGACCGCGACGUACUCUUGACGAGGCGGAGGUCGCCGUCGAAGGCAGCGCGGAGGAGGGCGUCCUCGGGAGAGCCGGGGAGAGGAGAGCUUGGCCUAGGGUUAGGGUUGUCCGGGCCCCGAGGCGAGCCUCUGCGCGGGAAGCAGCCGGCGAGGGCGGGAGGGAAACGAGGCGGCGUCGCCAUGGCGACGGUGGGCACCGGUCGCAGGGUCGACGGUGGUGAUCUAACGUUUGGUAUACGCGCCCGACGAGCCCAGCCGAGGGCGCUGCUGAGUGCUGACUGCCGAAGUGCCGAUUGAGUAGGCCGCGGGCCGAGGCCUCCGGAAGCGUACGCGGGAAGAGAAAGCGACGGGGACCGAGUGGAUAAAUGUCGAGCGUACCCGAGGAACUCGGGGGAGGAGCCCUGUCGAGCCUCGAGCGUCCCCGAACACGGGGGAGGAGCCCAAAAAAAAUUUUCGCCCAAUGUUAUGGAAAUUAAAAUAAACUAAUUUUUGGUUGAAAAAUCGCGAGAUAAAUUUUUUAAGUCUAGUUAGUCUAUGAUUAGUUUUAAGAGCAUCUCUAACAAUUUGGUAAAAAUCACUUAGCAAAUCUUAUGAUUUGACAAGUGACUAAAACAUAUGACAAGUGAAAAAAAUUAGUAUCUCUAAUAGUUUGGCAUCUGUGUUUGACAAAAUUAAGAAAAAUGGAUGUGUCGGAAGGCUGUCGGGAGAGAUUUUUAGAUUAGGAACGGAAAUUUUUUGGGUGUCACAUCGGAUGUGUCGGAAGGAUAUCGGGAGGGGUUUUUAGAAACUAAUAAAAAAACAAAUUACAUAGCUCGUCAGAAAACUGCAAGACAAAUUUAUUAAGCAUAAUUAAUCUGUCAUUAGUAUAUGUAGGUUACUGUAGCAUUUAAGGCUAAUCAUGGAGUAACUAGGCUUAAAAGAUUCGUCUCGCGAUUCUCAACUAAACUGUGUAAUUAGUUUAUUUUUUUAUCUACAUUUAAUGUUCCAUGCAUGUAUUCAAAGAUUCGAUGGGAUGGAUGAAAAAUUUUUAGUUGGGAAACUAAACAGGGCCUCGCUCCAAACAAGUCAACUAUUUUUUGCCGUCUCUUUUUCUUCUACGGCCUUGUUUACUUCUCAGAAAAUUUUGCAAAAUUUUUCAUAUUUUCCGUCACAUCGAAUCUUUAGACGUAUGCAUGGAAUAUUAAAUAUAGACGAAAAUAAAAAUUAAUUGCACAGUUUGGUUGAAAUUGACGAGACGAAUCUUUUGAGCCUAGUUAGUACAUGAUUGGAUAAUAUUUGUCAAAUACAAACGAAAAUGCUACAGUACCUGUUUUGCAAAAUUUUUAGGAACUAAACAAGGCCUACACGUCGUAUCUGGUGGUGUCGUAUCUUUUUCUCCUGCACGUCGUACCGCCAAGAACCGAUCAACUGGCCGGCGGUAACUCAGCCAAGAUGCGUCUAUGUGACUAGGGCCUUGUUUAGAUAUCUAAAAACUCAAAACUUUAUAAGAUUCUCUGUCAAAUUGAAUCUUGCGGCACAUGUAUGGAACAUUAAAUAUAAAUAAAAAAGAUAAUUAAUUGUACAGUUUACUUGUAAAUCACGAGACGAAUCUUUUAAGACUAGUUGCUCCAUGAUUGAAUAAUAUUUGUCAAAUAAAAACGAAAGUGUUACCAUAUCAAAAUCCAAAAAAUUUUGGAUCUAAACAAGGCCUAGAUCCCCAACGCUCGGCAACCCGUGAAGAUGCGUCUACCCGCCCAGAUCCCCAGUCCUCGGCAACACGCAAAGGUCGGAAGACUCCGGGCGAGCGCAGGAGUGAAUGCGUUUUUUUUAUACGUCAAUGAAAAUGCUAUUUUUUUAUUAUUUUUAUACGUCAUCUCGCUAGCUAUUUAUAAAGUGCUAUUGAAAGCCAAUAGAAUUCUUAGCUGUUUGAGAACCAUUGCAGAUGGCCUAAGAGCAAGUACAAUAAUGGGAUUAUAGCCAAGCUAACGCUGAUAUGGAGGAGAGAAGAGAGGAGAGAGAUGAUAGUUUGGCUCUCAUGCAAGCACUAAACUGGGCACGGAUGCAUAGGUAGUGGUGGGCCCAAAUAAUAAGUGUUGUGAGAAGAAAUAGACAAGAGAAGAUGUUUUAGAGACAAGUAUGAGACAACUUAUUGUAUAACUUGACUCUAAUCACUUGGCUUAUAGCCAAGCACUUGACUCUAUUAUUGACCUUGCUCUAAGGGCAAUCCCAAUGAUAAAAAUUUAUGCACAAUAUCCAAAAAUAUCACGCCAGUAAAAAUCAUUUAUAAAAACUAACUCACACAAUUGUAAAGUCUUCGUGUAAUAAAUAUAAUUUUUUUCUCUCACCCAUGCUCCUCCUCUCUCAUCUCAUUCUCUACUACUCUCCAGCGAGCCAGCACCCUGAGCAUGCAAGCGUAGCGCGCCAGCAGAGCGAGCAGGCACAUGCACAGUCCCAGCAUGACUAGCAAAGCGAGCAAGCACAUGCGGCGGGCGGCACCGCCACAGAAGUGCUUAAAGCAGCAGUGGAACAUAAUUUUUACAAGCAGUUUCAAUUAAAGAACGCAUGUGGAAAGAAAUUGGUUUAUCCGACUACAAAACCGCCUAUAAAAAUCAAUUUUUACAGGUGUUUUUUCUAACAAAACCGUCUGUAGAAAUCAUAUAUUUCUAUAGACGGUUUCUUAAGAAAUCCAUCUCUAGAAAUAAUUUAAACUUAAAUUUUUUGAGCUUUCCAAAUGACCUCGUUUGAAAAAACCAUUAAAAUGAAAGUUGUAGAUCUUGAAAAUUUAUGAAACUUUGUAGUUAAUAUUUUUUUUCAUUUGAAAUCAUCUUGUCAUCGAAAACUACGUUUGAAUUUUUUAAAUUUGAAAUUCAAAUUUUGUAAAUGACCUCGGAUGAAGGAACUACCAAUAUAAAAGUUGUAGAUCUUAAAAAGUUGUAAAAGUUUGUAGUUGAUGACUUUUCCAUUUAAAUCAGUUUAGGGCCUCAAAUAAUUAAUUUAUGCUUAAUUUAUGAUAGUAUGUAGGGAAGUAAACUCUAAUAUAGACACAAUAGGUGGAGUGGUAGAGAAAGGUACGCGCGAGAGUGAGAUCUCAGGUUCGAAUCCCACCGACCUAUGUAGCACGCGAUUUUACGCGAAAAAAUGCGCGAUAAAGACGGGCGGGUGAAUAGCCAGUGGGCUUUUCCUGAUAUUAUUUUUUUUCGAUUUCGUAUUUUCUUCUACAAUAUAUACAACUAAAAAGACUAAAACUGGAACAUUUUUUUUGGUGCGGUUUUGGUUUUGUUAGCCUGCCCGUCACCGGUCGUGCGUCCGCGCCUGCGCAUCUGCGUACUUGGAAACAAACAGAGACCGCCAUCCCCUCCUCGAUCCCCUCCACCUUCCUGCGAACGCACGCGCCUCGCCUCCUCACCUCGCCCGCAAGCCUCGCCCUCCAGGCUCCAGCGCCGUCCGCCGCACUCUCGCCUCGCCCGCCGAGCGCCGGCUCGACUCGCCUGCCGAGCCCCUCGCCCGCCGAGCCCCGUCCGCCGCCGAGCGCCUCGACCGCCGAGCGCCGUCCGCCGCUCUCGCCUCGCCCGCCGAGCCCCGUCCGCCGCUCUCGCCUGCGAGCCUCGCUCGCCAGCGCCGUCCGCCGCUCUCGCCUCCGAGCGCCGCCUCGCCUCGCCCGCCGAGCGCCGUCCGCCGCUCUCGCCUCGCCCGUCAAGCGCCGUCCCUCCACGCGCCUCGGUGGUCGCCGUCCGCCUAGCGCCGUCCGCCGCGAGACCGGCCUGCCAACCGAAACCCUGUACCGCCGACCAUCAGAGGCACUCAUCUCAUGACACUCGAGCACCUGCAGCCCCAUCCCCACGCCACCGAGCGCUAGGCCACCGCCCGACGGCGCCCCUGUCCCUCGGACUUUCAGAUCGCCGAUGCUCAAGCGACCAAACUCGACGAGUUGAGAGUUUAAAGAUAAGAGCGGCGGGACUUGCAGCGUUAAACAGACGGAGUGGGCUUCUGGGCCUUUUCCACAGCGCAAGCAGAAGCAAUCACGGACUGCAGAAGCAAGCAGAAGCCCUCUCUUCCUCUCUUGGACUCUCGCUCCUGCUUUCCAACACCCUACACCUAGCGGCCGCUCAGCCCCGGAGCUCCCAUCCUUCUGCCCGUGUGUCGGAGUGUGGUCCUUCUAGAAAAGGUGCGUCAUCUUUCAUCUGCUCGCAGUCUCUACUUGGUUGGUGAUGGUGGUCUCUAGGUGCUUGUUGAAUUAACUGUGAGUAAAAAGUUGUCCAGAUUGGAGCGUGAUUUGGAGUAUUGUUCAGAUUGUCAUUCUCAGGAAUACUGAAUUUUGGGAUUGCAGACUACUUGUAUAGCGAUAUACUCUGUAAGAUAUUAUAGUUUAUUUUAUACAAAGGUUGAUGUGAAACAAUUGUAAAUUAGAGUGUGUAUUAGUAUAUGCACAAGAAAGAGAGGCAAGAAAAAAGAAUUAUAGUAUAUGAAUUAAUUUGUUUGUUUCAGUGGACUUUAAUAGUUUUCAUAGUCUCAUGUACAUCUGUUGUUAGUCGUUGUUGGCAGUGCUCUCCGAACAUCUCAAUGCCCACAAUCUGAAAUUGACGUUCCAUGUAGUAGUCAGGUUGUUUCUCUAGCUUUUUUUUUGUUGAGGCUUCCAUUUUUUUUCAAUCAAAAUCCAGUCAGGAGCAAGUAGCUAUGCUAAUGUAUAUUUUUUGUGGUAGCCAAAAACAUGCAUGACUGAGACAAAUACCUUCAAUAAGUCUUCUGCCGCUGAAAUAAGUUUUAUUUGCUGAAAUUGAUUUUAAUCCAAAGUUGUGAUCACUGGCAAAUUAGUAGUUGUUAAUAUAGCUCAUCUACCUCCUCUAUUUUUUGUCAACUUUUUCAGGUACUAAAGUUAUUUGUUUCAAAAGGAGUUUUCUGCCCCUAACCCUCCUGAACCUGAGAAAUAGAGGGAGUUGUGUGAUCCAUUGGUCUUUUGAUCAUUCUACUGUAAGUAAUAACCGCACAUAUUUAUACUUUUACCUGCUUUCUUCAGUCUAAUCAAAAUCAGAAAUGACGUGUUUCAAAUGCAUAGAGGUACAGUAUUAGACCUAUGGAAUGUUGAAGUCUUUUCCUCGCUUGUCUUGUUUAUAUGCAAACUGGCAAGUCCUUGAUAAUAUUCAGUUAAUGAAUUCUUCAAUUCUUUAUAUGUGCAGACCACUCUUCAAAAUUAUAGAUCUCUCAAGCUCGUGCAGGUGCAUAUUGUUCGACACUAUGAUAAAAGUGUCUUUCAAGUUCUUGAUAUAUGGUCAAUCCUAGGAAAAGGUGAACGAGAUCAGUGAUAGACUUAGCUCUUUUAAUCCUGAUUCCUUUUCACUGAUUAUUCCUACUAACUGAAUGUGUUUGUGUGACCUUCAAAUGAAUGUAUAAGUAUGCCUCAUCAUUUGGUAAUCACAGCUUCAUAUAUGUAGGAUACAUCUGUUUUAAGUUUCAUUUGUCAGGGUGCUGCAUGGUUGUGCACAAUCUUAUUUAGGCCAUGACAGACUCAAAAAUUGAGUUACCAUAUUUUUGUUUAGUGCAUUCACCAGCUAGACGAAAACCACUACUUUGCUCAUAUGCUGGGACCUGUAUGUGGCCGGGUGUUGAAUAUUUGAAUUAGCUAAUCUCUCCCUGUUGUUUAGUUCCAGUGAUCUGCACUUUUCCCAUUCCUGUUUACGGAGACUUGAGACAGCUCUGCAAAUUAACCUUCCCAAACAACUUUAGUAUUCUCUACUAAUACUAAGUUUACGGUGAUUAAACUUUAUAGUAAUAUUGUAGAGAUUUUUAGAAUUCUCAAUCGCUUUGAAUUUCAUAUUGCAUUGGCCAUCGACUCAGUUCAUUUCUUUUUUUUUCACUGUAUCUCUUGUAGAUUUACUUCUACCUGAUAGCUUUUGGAGGUGCUUAAUACAUGACUGUUUAGAUUCAGGAUUCACUGCUUCAUUGUCUAUUUAAUAAGGUGAAAAAUAUAGUCGUGUGAGAUUUUAGGCAAUCUUGUUAUACAUAAUAUUUUCUGAAAUUUAAGUCAAUUGGUGACUAGCUGCAUCAGCAACUAACAAGAAACAACCUGACAAUUUAAGUCAAUUCGUAACAAAGGUAACUCAGAGCUGUUUUUUCAUGUUGGUUGAUAGCUUUUAUGACUCCAGACUUCGUCAUGUUCUUUCUUUUACUAAGGCAAAUUGUCAUGUCUCUGUUUAGAAGACUCAGUAGUGCUACGUUGACAAUCUAAUCUUUAUGAAUCAUGAUCAUUUUGCAAAACAAAAAGGCUUGGAUAGCAAUAUAGCACAAUUGUUGCAUCUAUUUCUGCAGUGGCUAUUGUUUUUCUUGGCAUAGUAUUUUUAACAAAUUUGUUUAUCAUCAUUAUAUAUGACUGAUUUUGCAAAUUAUCAUAUAUCUGUGUCAUGCUGAACAGGCUUGAUGGGAGCACUCCAUCUUCUGAACGGCAGAAUCUUGUGGAGAUGUUUAAUGACCGUGAAAACACAUGAGAGAAAUGCACGUUGAUAUCAACUUGUGUUGGAUCCCUAGGUAUCAACCUUCAUGCUGCAAAUCACGUGGUUCUUUUGGAUGGAUCAUAGAAUCCAACACAUGAUCUGCAAGCCAUUUAUCAGGUUUGGAGGCAAGAACUUGUCAUUUGUUUAUUUCUUGUGUGGGGAUGUUCUUUCCAGGUAUGGCCAGACCAAACCUGUGUAUGCCUAUCGCCUAAUGGCACAUCGAACAAUGGAAGAGAAAAUAUAUAAGCGCCGGGUAAUUUUGCAUUUUUUUCUUCUUUUGGUUUUGAGUUCUCAGUUUUAGUUAACCAAGUCAUUCUCUUGUAUCUGGUAGAUAUUGCUCCAUCCUUGUUUGAAAUCAAUUCAUGUCGAGUAUUAAUAGGUGACAAAAGAAGGCAUUGCAGCUAUGAUCCCUAGAGUAUCACCUUGCUCAUCAGUCAUCAAAAGUUGGAAUUUCUCAACAAUUCUUGCUAAUCCUUUGAAUCUAUGUGUUACAUAUAAAUUUGCAUCAUGAUAAAAUAAAUAUUUUAUCAAGUUCUAAUUGCAUGGAUUUCUAAUUAUAGCAUACUGUUUUCAUAUUUCUCACACAUAUACGACACAAUGAGCUGAUGAAUGAAUUUGGAAGCUGCACUUGGGCCUUUGUCUGCACAUAGUGAGGAUUACUGCACUGUAUCGUGCCUGAAAAGAUAGAAGCCCGUAACUGUUGCCAAGUUACAAAAAAUGUUGGACGAAAGGCUCGAGUAGAGGGAAGCUUACAUGGCAAAAGAUAUUCGUAAACUAUAUUUUUUUUGUCCUGGCACAUAUUCCUCAAGUUGUUUUGAUCUCUGAAUCCUUGUAUCAAAUGCCCCUAUAAAGAUUUGUCCUAUCCAAAUGACAUGAACUACUAUACUGUGUUGUGCAGAAUUGGUUCUGGAUGCAAAAAAUGAUAUUUGGUUAUUAACUUCAAUCUUGUUCGGUUGUGAUGGCAUAUUUAAGUACUGUGGCAUUGGGUGAAACUUCAGUUGAGCAUUACAACUUCUAGAAAUAUGUUUUCAACUUUGAAAAUUACUAGAGUCGCAUCACGAAAAGAUUAGGGUUUAUGAGCAAACAACUCUCUCCGUGAAUGUUAGUUUCAUAAAUUUUGUGUUUUAGAUUAAAUGACACUUUAACAUUGGUAUUAAUUUUUUUAUAAUAUUGUUAUUUAUUGUGCGAUCUAUGUAUUUUUAGUAUAAAAUGUCAGCUAUCCCGUAGCAACGCACGGGCAUGCUACCUAGUCUAGAAAAAAAUUCUACAUGCGGUUGGCAUAACUGAACCGCCUGUAGAAAUACAUUUCCAUAUGCGGUUCUCAGUUACCUGCUUGUGGAAAAAUAUAUUUUCACAGGCCACCAAACACAGACGCCUGACCGGCUUGUACUACUGACCGACGAGCACGAGCAACACACCUAGGCUCUAUCGCGAGGCAUCCAACGUGGCUGGCUUGGCGUAUCUCUGCGGCAAGCGAACGCGCUCGCGUCCAGCAAGCAAAGUGCGCGGCAGCCGGUCAACAGAGCAAGCACGCACGCACAGCGACGGCGCCUCCGGCGAGCACGCGCAGCACAGACUUGGGUGUAUUGUGGCACGUCCUGCGUGGCCUGGGUGCAUCACAGUGGCGAGCGAGAACGCGGCGCAAGUGAGCCCUCACGACAGCCGGCGAGCAAGCGGCGCAAGCAAGCCAAACCUCACGACAUCCAACGAGUGUGCGGUGCGGGUGAGCCCUCGCGGCGGCAAGCGCGACAGUGGCCUUCGUGGUGGCAAGCGUGACAGCGGCGUGGUGCCUAGGUGAUGGCAACGGCGUCCUGCUUGCUUCCUGUACGGCAGCGACGAGCGCGGAAGAGUCAUCAGCGUGAGAAAUCUCAUCGCAGGAGCAGUUCUAUCGCGGGCCUUCCUCCCAACGGUAGUUUAGCGGUUUCAACGUGCAUCGUUUCACGCAUAGGGCCUUGUUUAGUUCCUUGCCCAAAUUUUUUCGGGGAUACUGUAGCACUUUCGUUUGUUUGUGAUAAUUAUUGUCCAAUCAUGGACUAAGUAGGCUCAAAAGAUUUGUCUCGUAAAUUUCGACCAAACUAUGCAAUUAGUUUUUAAUUUCAUUUAUAUUUAAUACUUCAUGCAUGCGUCUAAAGAUUCGAUGUGACGGGAAAUCUUAAAAAGUUUCUGAACUUUGGGUGGAAGUAAACAAGACCUAGACGUAGUUUCUCCCCCGAGAAACAGUUUCUUUAAGAUUUUUUCUCUUUCUUCAUUGAUUCGAAUGCCACAUCAACAUUUUGCUUAGUUGGCAAAGUAUUUAAUAGACAUAGAAACUAUCAUUAAUAUAUUAUUGGGACUGCCCUAAGGCUUUGUUUAGUUCCCAAAAAUUUUCAAGAUUUCCUGUCACAUCAAAUCUUUAUACACAUGCAUGGAACAUUAAAUAUAAAUGAAAAUAAAAACUAUUUGCACAGUUUGUCUAUAAUUUACGAGACGAAUCUUUUGAGCCUAGUUACUAUGUAAUUGGAUAAUAAUUGUCACAUACAAACGAAAGAGUUAUAUUUAGUUCCAUCCAAAGUACAUAAGUUUUUGCGCUCAUUAUGGCCUCUAUAGAGGUUCUUUUGGGUUUUUUUCGCCUUUUGAGACUAAAAUCCAAAUAAAAACUAUUUUGCCAAAAAUUUUGCAUGGUGUUUAGCUAUAUUAUACAAAAUAAUAGACUAAAAUCUAGAAUUUUUGGAAUGAAAGAAGAACUAAAUACCCCCACUUUUAUCAAAAAAUUGUGGUUUUAGGCUAUAAUUUUGCAAAAUGGAACUAACACCAUGUGAAAACUUUAACCAAAAAGUAACUAUUCUCUAUUUUAGAUUUUGGCCUCAAGAGACCAAAAGGAACCCAAAAGCUCUUGGGAGCUCAUGCCCACCUCCACCAGCACUAGCAAAUUUUUAGUAUUUUGGAUGGAACUAAACACACCAAUGAAAAAAUUGGUAUUUUACAUUUCAUCAUUUCAAAGUACUUGGCAUUUUGUAUUUUGUAUUCCACACACCUGAAGUGAAUCUUGCUCUUAUUUUUUGAAAUGAAAUUUUAAUCUUGUUCUUGUUUUUUAAACAUUUAUUUUGUGAUUAUGAUUUUACUUCUCUGUUUUGUAAACUUUUAUUAUUGUGAUUUUACCUCUCUAUUUUUUGAAAUGAGGAAAGAGUGUCAUCAGCAAGUUACAAGUGUUAACUUGUGAUAAGUAUGCUUAUGUGAUUUUACUCCUAUUUUAUUAGAGGCUUAGCGAUUUUAACACUAAUUGAAUUUUUUUUAAUAUAUUAGUAAGGAUGUUGUCAAAAAAAAUAAGAUACAAAUUAUGCAUUCAUUUUAUUAAUAUAAAUCUGGGCAACAUUUGUCUAAUCUUAGCAAAAAAAUGAACAUCAUUUAUGCAAAAACAAAGAGAAACAUAAUUUUUCAUUAUACCACUUGCAUGUACUCUCUUCAUCCCACAUUAUAAGUCAUUCCAACUUUCUUGAUAGUCAAAGCAUCUCAAGUUUGAUCAAAUUUAUAUAAUAAAAUAGUAACAUUUUUGAUAGCAAAUGAGCAUUAUUGAGUUUCUAGGGUUACAACUAGAAAUUGUGGAGAAAGGAGAUCAGGCUCAAACCCUAGAAAUUCGAUUCAAACACAAGUGAAUGCAACAGAAGCCCAACACACAAGAGAUAAGAGAUUUAUCAUGUAGUUUAACUCGCCGCUAAGGCUUGCCUAUGUCCACGUUGUUGAGGGAGCCACAAAGACUUAGUUUCUUCUACCUCAUACCUUCCCAAAAGACCACCAUCAAAGUUGUGAGCUUGAGGGUCCGCUAAGUCAAUUGGGGCAAUACAAACUUCUUAGAGCACCUCACAAAGUUUAGAGUGCUACACAGGCAGGUAGUCUCUAUCCAGCUAUGAGCCUUGCUCCAAAAGUGACAAAUACCACCAUCGGGCUAGGGUUUCACUAAAUGCUCAAAUGAAGUGGAGCAUGAUCUUCUCUUACCUCUUAGGUCUCUCUUUGGGCCAAUCACCUCAAGAAUCACCAAGUUUUGAAGUUAGGUGGUUGGGAGCAUCAAUGGAGAAGAGAGAAAUGAGUGUUGAUUGGUUUUUUUCCUUGAAUACGCAAGAGAGAUGUUGUUGGGCAUUCUUAACGUCACUACCCAAAAAUAGACUUAGUUUUCUAAUUCUGAUAACGACGCCAAAAAUGCCAAACCUAUCCCUCAUGCCACUUAAGCCAAGUUGUCAUCCCCAGCAUGACAUGAAAGACGCGGUAUUGAAAUAUGCAAUUGCUCUUCUAAAUAAAUAAUAAAUGAGAUCUACAAGCGCACAGAUUAAUACCGAUGUAGCAUUUUAACCGGAAAGUAUUCUAGGUAUCGUUAUUUAUAUUUUUACCACUAGGAAGGGAUUGCUAAACAUCAAUGUUGAUUAUAGAAUGGAAUAUAAGAUUGAGUAUCUAUCAUUGCAUGUAUAAUUGAGAGCAUUUAUCUAUCUCUUUCAUACAGGAAUAAGUGUCACAUAAAAGAUAGAUAAAGUAUGAAUGGUGACAAAGAUAAUUAAUCUGAUCAGCAUAACUUAGCCACAUAUAAAUAUGAUAAGCACCUCAACAGAUAUUCUAGCAAGUCAUUAGCAUGGAAUUAGGACGAACUACAAGAAUAUUUCCUAAGUUAUUCUUAACUAUAAAGUCUAGCAUAUCAUAGUUAGUGCAAUUAUACUUGACAAUCAUUGCGAGACAGGACUACGCCCAUGCAUAGUGAUAUUAUCAAGGAAUAUGAGAAACAUAGCAAUCACUCCCCUGUAAUAAUGUUGCUCUGCCAGCCCUAUACACGAGAGGGGGACUAUAUAAGAAUCAAUAGAGCUGUCACUACCACGAACUACCCCGCGAUAUGGCAUAUAGGGUACAAUCAUAGAUAAAUACGGUAUAGGCACCACGCUUACACAAUACUUAUCAUUUACCCACUAUACACAUGGAUAAAUGCUAUACGAUCCUAAACACGUAUAUAAUUCAAAUCUAACUAAGCCAAGCAUAUAACUAUGAUAAAAUAAGAACAAUAUAAUUGCAAAUAUAAAUAAGUAGAGCAAAGUCAUAAUCAAUAUAUUGAAGUAGAGCAAAGUCAUAUUCAUAAUAUUGAAGAACAAAGAUGAACAAUUGAAGAACAGGAGAGAAUUACCAAGAAUCCUCUUGACAGAUCAGGAAACCAAUCGAAGAUUGACUCCUUCUAGUUCUAAUCCUAUGUAGCUAUGCUAAACUAGAGAUCUAAUUGAUGUGGUGGCUCUAGGGCUUGAUCAGAGGCUUCUUCUCCCAAGAUGAAUAAUAAAUUAGGGUUCAGAGGUCCUCUCCUUUAGGGGCCAGGGGGUCUGCUUAUAUAGUCCUUCCAAGUGAAUAUGGGCCGUCGGAUCAAACCGACAUUAAUCGCACGGUUUUCCUUGAUCCUUUAGGUUGGUGGAGCAUGAUCCACGAAGUUGAAGCUGAUUGGCCCUGAGGCCAGGGCGGGCGCCCAAGGGGGGAGGGCGGGCGCCCUGCCCCCGAGCCCGUCCGGUCUCCCGUUCGUUCCCGUGGCUUCUGGACUCUUCUAGAUGUAGGAUAAUUGCGCGGCACGUUAAUAUCUGUAUGUAAACCCGACAUGUGGGCCUUUCUUCCAUAAUUCCUGAUAACCCCCUGCAGAAAUAGACAAACACCAAAACUCAUGGAAUUCUAUCAGAUAAAACCCUAAGUAUAGAUGUCGGUUGCAUUUGGAUCCUUUUUUUUGUUUAUUUGUUAAUUAAUUUGAUACUUAAGGACCGUCAACAAACUCCCCCAAGCUUACCUCUUGCUCGUCCCUGAGCAAGGAUAAUCUCAGUGAUGGAUCAGAAGUUGCUGUAAUGCCUUUAAAAAUUGACGGUACACAUGCUUUCAAAUGAGGUUUCAUCUCUGAGUUAGAGUAAACUGUCAAGACUUAAAACUUACUUAUUUUACCUUUCACCAUGGGACUUGUAACCGUCACUUCUGUCUUGAGUAGUUAAAAGAUAGAACGGUCUAAUCAAGUGCCAUGUCUCUUAUUCUUGAUCAGCUAUAGCUCUGGAGUUUUUGCAGAUUUUCAAAUUAAACUCAGAGAUUCCUUGUAUGACUCUCUCAGAUCUCUCUUUUGUGGUAUUUCUGGAUCCUUACCAAGGCAGUGAUGGUACAUGCCUUCUCUCUCAAAGUAUGUAUUUGUGGUAUAAGGCAUGGUGACAUUGCCUUCUCUCUCACCCUACUCUAAUAAGGCUUUGAUAUCUGGAGCUCAUAGGUGGGAGAUAAAGUAUACAUACUUACAAGACAUUUAUUGCAUAGUCAAACCAUGGAUCUAGAGAAAUUAAUCAUAAGUCAAAUCAAGAUGUACAUGUGUGGCGAAUGAAUGGUGUAUGGUGACGAUGGUGAUAAUAGUGAAAACAAUGGUGAAAGUCUAAUUCUACUUUUGCUCUUUUGAGGGGAUACAUACCUUCCUUGCUCUUUUGAAACUUUUGGGGAGAAUGAGAUGCUCUAUAUUUUCUUUUUCUUUCCUCUCAGGUGGGUAUCUUGUACCCCUAAUUCUAGUGUCGGACACUUGUCGAUUUUUACCUCUCAUCUCACUUUUUCUUUCGAGGUUCUGGGCACUUGCCCCUUUUUAUUUCCUCGUAUACUUUUUCUUCUUUUUUUAGAGCACUCAUCUCUUGAAAUAAUAUAGCAAGUGGUAGUAACCAAGAUAACUUGAGAAUUUAUUUUACAGGGAAAAACAAAAAUAUUUUUGGCUAUUCUCUCCCGGAUUAGGAGUAGAAUACUUUUGGGUGGUUCUGGAGAUGGAAAUGGGUGGAUAUAUGUGGAUGGGUACUUCCGGAGUAGAAGCAGCAUGUGCGAGUGAACAUGCAAGUGAAUCUUGAUUUUAACCACAUGACAAGCUCCUAAGGGUCUACACAGCUUGACCACACUCAAUACUCAUAAGUAGUAAAAAGUAAAUGUGUGGCACAAAGUCUAGCAAGCAUGUAUAUAUAUGGUUGUGGUAGGAAUUUAAACUCUCAUCAUACACGAACUCAUCAAGUGAUAUUUUAAAGAUUUUCAAAGAUAAAAUUCUCCAUAAUUCUAGCAUCUUUAGGAACAGAUAAACAGCAGCUCAACCUUCCCAUAUCAUAUCCGUUAACAACUUAGACUUCAGAUCAAGUUCUCUUCCCACAAGUUCAGGUUUAGAGCAAGCUUUAAAUUAUAACAGUUAUGUCUAAACUAGAGAGAGAACUUCAAAUUUGAAAAAUUAGGCAGAGCAACUAUUCAUCAUAUCCAUGCUAGAGUUUUAUUAUUAAGAUUCAGUUUAGCAUAGCCACUUUAUUUAUUUAUUAAGCAUACUAAGCAAAAGAUAUAUAUAUAUAUAAGAACAAAAUCUUUAUUGGGUUUUUUAUAGUUAUGUAUAUUUUUAUUUUAAUAUAGUAUAAGUAUAUAGAUAGAAAGAAAUACUUAGCGGGAUAAAUGGGGGUGCUUUCCCCCAAGCUAAAUUUUGACGUAAUUUCUUCUGAUGUAGCUAGCAGGUGGCAGAGGUCUAUUUGAAAGUCGGCAGCACCCUGACAGCGAUUAGAAUGUCCUCCGUCUGCUAGUCUUCUUGAUUCUUGAAUUAUGUGGAGCUCAAAUAGACAACAAAGCUUUGUGGAACUGAUUAAGUGUUAGCAUAAAUAUCUAGCCUUUAUCAUGUUGAGCCUCCUCAAUAAGUGUUACUCUCUAUUUUUAUAUUUUCAUUUUAUAGAGCAGAAAAAAUUAUUUAUUUUAUUUUUAUGCCACCACGGUGAAUAUACUUAUGGGUUUUAUGCCACUCGUAUACUCACAUAGGGCUUACUGUUUUUUAACAUUUUUAUUUUCUUUUUAGAAUGAUAUGAACAUGAUUAACUAAACAAACUAUUUUAACUAAUUGAAAGGAAAAAGGAUAUCUACCAAGUUUACCUCUUGGCAAAGCGUUCGGUGUUUUUAAGUCCUCCGAACGGGACUCUCCGUUUUCUUAGUCGUCCUAGGAUUUGUUGGAUGGCGUAGUUGGUACUUCCAGCGGCGCCUCUUCUUCGUGUAUAUCUAUCUUCUCUCUCCACACCUGACUCGGUGCUACGGUCUCAGUUCUGUUCAAGUUGUAUGUCUUCAGACCGUACUACUUCUCCUUCAUAGUCUGCCCAUCCGUCCUUGAUGAUUUGCCUCCUCUGGUUGCGGUUGCGUCGUCUUGUUCUCGUCCUGACCUCCUUAGAGUCUUCAACGAUAUAAUUAGGGUCAGUAAAAUAGCGGCGUACCUUCUCUGAGGGGAAGUGCAUGUGAACUUCUCCGGUUCCAAUGUAGAUGAUUGCUUUAACGGUGCUGAGGAACGGUCUUUCAAGGAUGAUGGGUGGAUCGUACUCAUCUUCUCCCAUGUCAAUAACCUGAAAGUCUGUAUGGACAAAAUGAUCGUCUAUUUUGACAGGGACAUCAGUUACUAUACCUUCAACCUUUUAGAAUGUCUGAUCUGCCAUCUGGAGCUGAAUGUAUGUUGGUUUUAUGGGCAUGGUUCCGAAUAAGAGCCGAUAGGUGACUGCGGCCAUUAUGUUGACGCCCGAUCCGGUGUCGCAAAGUGUCUUGUAGAAGUUGUAUCCAUUAAUGGAGCAAUAGAUGCUUGGCAUACCUGGGUCGUCCUUCUUGGUCAGAAACGGUGACUUAAAUCGAUGAUCUUGACCUCCUUGAACUGCAGUGACCAUCUUAGCUGACUCGGUCCACACUUGCUUGUUCCUGUUCCUCCUAUUGGUCCUCUUCCUUGGUUCAUGUCGGGAUUGCUCUGGGAUUUGUGUAAUCUUGUUCUUGAAGGAAAACGUCUCCUUUCUCCCUUUGAUAUAGAAACUGAUCUUGGCAGCACUAGCGUAGAUGACAGCUCCCGAGGUGUUCAGGAAUGGCCUCCCUAAGAUGACGGGUGCCCUCUCAUCAUUACCGGUCUCUAUUACCACAAAGUCUGCUAGAGUGUACAAGGUACCAACUCGGACACAGAGGUUCUUCAAUAUUCCCUUUGGGAAACUUAACAUCCAAUCUGCAAACUGCAAACACAUGGUUGUUUCUAAUAAAGGAUAUGUAAAGAAUUUUUCAUAGAGUACCCUGGGCAUAAUGUUGACACUAGAGCCAAAGUCGCAGAGUGCUUCUGGGAAGUCCACUAUGCUGAUGGAGAUCGGGAUGACAGGGCGUUCUGGAUCACCUCUCUUGACCGGCAGAAGGUCAGUAGUAACUUCAGUGACGGGGUUACUCCAGUAGUUACCUGCAUCAAACAUGUCUACAAGAUUUGCAGAUUCUAAUCCUUCCGGUUGUGAUGGUAUACCGGGGUUAGUAGCAGGAACAGCAUCAGCUAUUUGAUUUAACUGAGAUUCAAUCAUUUUAUUAAAGCUAAUUUGAUUCUUGAUGGCAGUAGAGAAAUUAUCCAUUCUAUUAUUUAUAUUUUCUAGCAUUUUAUCAUUAGAUGCCAAUUUCUUAGAUAGGUUAUCCAUUAGCUUUCCUUGAUUAGACACUAACUCUCUCAGAGGUGGAAAAUUAUUAUUAUUAUUGUAAGAAUUGUUACCUUGAUAAUUACCUGAGUAGUUAGGCCUUUGUUGAUUCCAACCUUGAUUUUGUUGAGGACGGUUGUUGUAGUAGUAGUAGUAGUUGUUGUUGAUGUAGUUCACAUCCUCAAGCACCUCAGGACCGUGAUUGCCUGAGUGUCCGUUAUCUCCACACUCCUCACAAGUCAUGUGAGAGUCGUAAACGUGCAUAACUUCUUUCUUAUCUCCAGCU
rnacentral:lncRNA from 1 species